rnacentral:rRNA from 1 species
UUGACGUUAGCGACAGAAGAAGCACCGGCUAACUCCGUGCCAGCAGCCGCGGUAAUACGGAGGGUGCGAGCGUUAAUCGGAAUUACUGGGCGUAAAGCGCAUGCAGGUGGUUUGUUAAGUCAGAUGUGAAAGCCCGGGGCUCAACCUCGGAAUAGCAUUUGAAACUGGCAGACUAGAGUACUGUAGAGGGGGGUAGAAUUUCAGGUGUAGCGGUGAAAUGCGUAGAGAUCUGAAGGAAUACCGGUGGCGAAGGCGGCCCCCUGGACAGAUACUGACACUCAGAUGCGAAAGCGUGGGGAGCAAACAGGAUUAGAUACCCUGGUAGUCCACGCCGUAAACGAUGUCUACUUGGAGGUUGUGGCCUUGAGCCGUGGCUUUCGGAGCUAACGCGUUAAGUAGACCGCCUGGGGAGUACGGUCGCAAGAUUAAAACUCAAAUGAAUUGACGGGGGCCCGCACAAGCGGUGGAGCAUGUGGUUUAAUUCGAUGCAACGCGAAGAACCUUACCUACUCUUGACAUCCAGAGAACUUUCCAGAGAUGGAUUGGUGCCUUCGGGAACUCUGAGACAGGUGCUGCAUGGCUGUCGUCAGCUCGUGUUGUGAAAUGUUGGGUUAAGUCCCGCAACGAGCGCAACCCUUAUCCUUGUUUGCCAGCGAGUAAUGUCGGGAACUCCAGGGAGACUGCCGGUGAUAAACCGGAGGAAGGUGGGGACGACGUCAAGUCAUCAUGGCCCUUACGAGUAGGGCUACACACGUGCUACAAUGGCGCAUACAGAGGGCGGCCAACUUGCGAAAGUGAGCGAAUCCCAAAAAGUGCGUCGUAGUCCGGAUUGGAGUCUGCAACUCGACUCCAUGAAGUCGGAAUCGCUAGUAAUCGUGGAUCAGAAUGCCACGGUGAAUACGUUCCCGGGCCUUGUACACACCGCCCGUCACACCAUGGGAGUGGGCUGCAAAAGAAGUAGGUAGUUUAACCUUCGGGGGGACGCUUACCACUUUGUGGUUCAUGACUGGGGUGAAGUCGUAACAAGGUAGCGCUAGGGGAACCUGGCGCUGGAUCACCUCCUUA